AUACAACAUUCUCGGAAGACCAGGUUCGUUUCCAAUUCAAAUUUUGUAUUUAAAGAUUCAACCCUACAUAUUUAGUUUACUAUAAUAUACUUAGCUAUAAUUUGUCGCGCUUGAGAUACGUAGAUGCCGGGUUGCCAGUUAUUAAUAUCUGUAGGAAAUCAUUUUAGGAUUGGAUAAAAGAUGGCGGUAAUGAUUUAUAAACUUUAAGGUCUUUAAGUUGGUAUGGUAAAAUGUCAGAUAUGAUGAUAAGGUAAAUUUGGAGUUUUUGAGGUUUCGAGGUGACGAAAUUCCGUCGACUCGGCCAUUUCGCAAACGAUUCGGCUGGUAUCCAGAAGUGUAGUGGCUCGCGUGUGAACUUUUUCCUUUAGUUCUUUGGACAAGUUCCUUUUCAUUUAACUUUUUCCUUCAAACCUAUUUAAGUUCUACGGUUUGCGAACCGUUCUUUUUCAUCGAGUCACCUUUCUGUGUGACCUUUCUUUACAUACCAAGAAGCGCUCGUUCAACGGGCGCUUGGUAUAGGCUGGUUUUUUCUCAUACCCGUUUCUGCGGAAACGAUCCCGACGGUGGAACUCUCCACGUGGUUUUGCGAAACCUAACCUCCAAUUCGGAACCGAUCCUGCAACCGGGCACCCCUCGUGUCCCCUGCUCCACUCGUGCGUGCUGCUAAGGCCCGCCUUUCGGGGCAGUCAAACGGAGGUCGAGGUAAUUCG